UAGUUUCCUUGAGAGAUGAGGAAGUUCAAGUUGAAUGUCUGACCCGUCGCAAAAAAUAAAUUAUAAAUUGAAGAUUUAACGUGUUCUACAUCAUAUGUGAACACUUGGGACAAAGUCAAUAUGUCUCUUUUUUGAGGCUAUAUGUCGUAUUAUGCCAUGGACCGGGACAUGGACACAACUAUGACAAAGCAUCAGGAGCAACAAACCAGGGGUUCAGGAUCAGGCCAAGCAAACCCUGACAUGCAAGGCAUGACAAGAAAGUUGCAAACACGAUUGAAUUCCUCAAGAAAGAAGUUGUCGCAAAGAACAAAGGUGGCGCCCGAAUAGCUCAUCGCCAAAGAGUCUUCAGUAAAAGGGCCACGGGGGGCGCUGGAGCCUAUCUCAGCUACAAUCGGGCGGAAGGCGUGGUACACCCUGGACAAGUCGCCACUUCAUCGCAGGGCCAACACAGAUAGACAACAUUCACACACUCGGGCAAAUUUAGUGUUGCCAAUCAACCUAUCCCCAGGUGCAUGUCUUUGGAAGUAAACCUGCUAAGCACCUAUGUCAGUGUCAACACGACGAGUUGAGUUCAUACCAAAAUGGAUAAAUGGAUGAUACAGCAGAGGAUUGGGAGAAUGUCAUGUGGUCUGAUGAAACCAAAAUAGAACUUUCUGGUAUAAACUCAACUCGUCGUGUUUGGAGGAAGAAGAAUACUGAGUUGCAUCCCAAGAACACCAUACCUACUGUGAAGCAUGGGGGUGGAAACAUCAUGAUUUGGGGCUGUUUUUCUGCUAAGGGGACAGGAAGAUUGAUCCGUGUUAAGGAAAGAAUGAAUGGGGCCAUGUAUCGUGAGAUUUUGAGCCAAAACCUCCUUCCAUCAGUGAGAGCUUUGAAUGGUUGACCAAAUACUUAUUUUCCACCAUAAUUUACAAAUAAAUUCUUUAAAAUUCCUACAAUGUGAAUUCCUGGAUUUUUUUUCACAUUCUGUCUCUCACAGUUGAAGUGUACCUAUGAUGAAAAUU